rnacentral:rRNA from 1 species
UACAGAGGGGGCAAGCGUUAUUCGGAAUUAUUGGGCGUAAAGGGCGCGUAGGCGGCCUGGCAAGUGGAAGGUGAAAUCCCUCGGCUUAACCGAGGAACUGCCCUCCAAACUGCUUGGCUUGAGUCCGGGAGAGGUGAGUGGAAUUCCCAGUGUAGCGGUGAAAUGCGUAGAUAUUGGGAGGAACACCAGUGGCGAAGGCGGCUCACUGGACCGGUACUGACGCUGAGGCGCAAAAGCGUGGGGAGCAAACGGG